rnacentral:antisense_RNA from 8 species
GACACAUAGGAACCUCCCUAAAGGAUUCUAUGGACAGUCGAUGCAGGGAGGUGAGAACUCCCUGCAUCGGCGAUUUA